AUUAAGAUUUUAGAUGAUUAUUAUAUUGGCCCGUCAUUUCUCUUGCGCUCCUACUUCUUUUGGUGGUGUGGUGCGACUCCACGUGGCAACAAAUUGAGGAUUAUUGUAGUAACAAGAACGUAUAAACCCAAAGAGCACGCCCUACUCUCUGUGCGUAAUGACGCACUUGCGCAGGAGCAAUGUCACAGUCGUAACACUGAGACAGCGCCACCGAUUUAUUCUAAACUGAAUUAUAAUUGUUAUAAACCACAGAUACGGAUGUUCAUCCUUAUUCCAACAACGAUUUGCAUAACAUUUCCAAUCCCUUGUGAGGGUCGUGUAGUGGGGCCCGUGAGCGGCGGAUGAGGCUGGGGUCCAGCUUCAGCGGCGCCCUGCAGCCUCCCAAUGGUCUCCCCCACUAUGAAGGCACUGGUGGACGCUGUGUGGGCGGUGUGGAGCAUCGGUGCCUCCGUCUAUGACUACAUCCACACCAGCGCCAUGGAGGAGCGCAUCCACACGCUGGAGACCGUCAUCACCAUUCACCAGUGUGUCAUCGCAGCGCUGACCGCUGGAGUGGUGGUGCUCUUCACCUACAUACUGUUGAGGAAGCACUGAGGGGGAGUGAGGAAGGAGAAGCCACGCAGGGCCCAGGAGGCUAGUUUUGAGGACAACACAGGAUUACCAGAGUGAUCAGAAGCAUUGAGAGUGUGGGUCUGGAAAGUCAUCCAGAGCCCUGGAGAGGCCUACCGGCCUACAUGGAUUAGAUUGAGGAGGACUUGAUUAAUAAGGGAUUUUGGCUACUAGAACAGUUUUUGGCUAUUUGGCCUUUAUUUCGGCUGCCAAUUGUACCAUUCUACUGCGGGGGUGUUGCUGGACACUGUGUCUCAGGGAGUCAAUGGUUUCACUCACUUUGCACCCAUGGAAGAUGAAGACAUGGGCAGAAAUGGGCAAAAGAUGCAUGAAAAUGUAUCUUUUUACAAAUACAAGUUACUUUAAAGACCAAUGUAUCAAACUAAAAUACAAAAUACUUUUGUGAAGAAUUGUAUUUAGAAUGAUUAAUUCUUUAAUACAAAAUACAUUUGCAUGUACAUGCCUUCACUACAACAAUAUUCUUAGUAACAGAAACAAAAAAACAUUUAACUUGCUAUGACUGUAAUAUGUGGUUGUUUAUCUACCUUGGUUGAAUGCACUGACUAAGUCACUGUGGAUAAAUGUCUGCUAAAUGACCUAAAUGUAAAAAUGUAAUAAUUGCAAAGCACACUUGGUAUUAUUAUUGGCCUUAUUUUGUGGGCAGAGCUCAUCAAUAAUACCCAGCAUGCUUUGCAGGUGUACAUUUGUACAUUUACAUGUUGUUCAUUCAGCAGACACUCAUAUCAUACCAUAGUGCCGUGACUUCUGAUACCAAUGCAGGGUGAAAGGGGGCCUCCAAAUGUUGAACCGCUAUAAAAUAAAAAGGAUAUAGAAAAUGUAUUUUGAAAAUA